AGUGAACGCUGGCGGUAGGCUUAACACAUGCAAGUCGAACGGCAGCACAGUAAGAGCUUGCUCUUACGGGUGGCGAGUGGCGGACGGGUGAGGAAUACAUCGGAACCUACUUUUUCGUGGGGGAUAACGUAGGGAAACUUACGCCAAUACCGCAUACGACCUUCGGGGGAAAGCAGGGGAUCUUCGGACCUUGCGCGGUUGAAUGAGCCGAUGUGGGAUUAGCUAGUUGGCGGGGUAAAGGCCCACCAGGGCGACGAUACGUGGCUGGUCUGAGAGGGUGAUCAGCGACUGUGGAGCUGAGACACGGUCCAGACUCCUACGGGAGGCAGCAAUGGCGAGUGUUGGCAGCUGGGCGGAAUCCUGCUCAAUCCACACAACGUGGGUGAAGAAGGCCUUCGGGUUGUAAAGCCCUUUUGUUGGGAAAGAAAAGCAGCAGGUUAAUACCCCGCUGUUCUGACGGUACCCAUAGAAAAAGCACGGGCUACCUUCGU
rnacentral:rRNA from 1 species